rnacentral:rRNA from 1 species
CGGGAGGCAGCAGUGGGGAAUCUUCCGCAAUGGACGAAAGUCUGACGGAGCAACGCCGCGUGAGUGAUGAAGGAUUUCGGUCUGUAAAGCUCUGUUGUUUAUGACGAAGUGCAGUGUGUGAACAAUGCAUUGCAAUGACGGUAGUAAACGAGGAAGCCACGGCUAACUACGUGCCAGCAGCCGCGGUAAUACGUAGGUGGCGAGCGUUGUCCGGAAUUAUUGGGCGUAAAGAGCAUGUAGGCGGCUUAAUAAGUCGAGCGUGAAAAUGCGGGG